UUCCGGUUGAUCCUGCCAGAGGUCACUGCUAUUGGGAUUCGAUUAAGCCAUGCGAGUUGAAUGGUGUCCAGCAAUGGAUAACCAUGGCAUACGGCUCAGUAAAACAUGGAUAAUCUGCCCUUGAGUGGGGGAUAAGCUCGGGAAACUGAGUAUAAUACCCCAUAGGCCUGAAAAACUGGAACGUUUUUAGGCUGAAAGCGUUUAGCGCUCAAGGAUGAGUUCAUGAUCUAUCAGGUAGUAGCAAGCGUAAAGUACUUGCUAGCCUACGACGGGUACGGGUCUUGGGAGAGAGAGCCCGGAGAUGGAUUCUGAGACACGAAUCCAGGCCCUACGGGGCGCAGCAGGCGCGAAAACUUCGCAAUGCACGAAAGUGCGACGAGGGAAUCCCAAGUGCCAGUGCAUUUUGUGCUGGCUGUUCUUCAGUGUAAAAAGCUGGAGGAGUAAGGGCUGGGUAAGACGGGUGCCAGCCGCCGCGGUCACACCCGCAGCCCAAGUGGGGGCCACUAUUAUUGGGUCUAAAACAUCCGUAGCUGGUUCGGUAAAUGCUCAGGGAAAUUGGGUGGCUUAACCAUCCGAAGUCUGGGUAGACUGCUGAACUUGAGACCGGGAGAGGUCAGGAGUACUCUUGGGGUAGCGGUAAAAUGCUGUAAUCCUGAGAGGACUACCGGUGGCGAAGGCGCCUGACCAUAACGGCUCUGACAGUGAGUGAUGAAGCCCUGGGGCGCGAACCGGAUUAGAUACCCGGGUAGUCCAGGGUGUAAACGCUGCUAGCUUGGUGUUGGAUAACCUACGUGGUUAUUCAGUGCCGGAGAGAAGUUGUUAAGCUAGCUACCUGGGAAGUACGGUCGCAAGGCUGAAACUUAAAGGAAUUGGCGGGGGAGCACUGCAACGGGUGGAGCGUACGGUUUAAUUGGAUUCAACGCCGAAAACCUCACCGGAGGCGACAGCUGGAUGAAGGCCAGGCUAAAGACUUUGCUGGACUAGCUGAGAGGUGGUGCAUGGCCAUCGGCAGUUCGUACUGUAAAGCGUUCUGUUAAGUCAGAUAACGAACAAGACCCCCAUCUUCAGUUGCCACUUUCAAGUCCGCUUGGAAAGCACUCUGGAGAUACUGCCCGCGCUAAGUGGGAGGAAGGAGAGGGCCACGGUAGGUCCGUAUUCCCCGAAUCCUCCGGGCUACACGCGCGCUACAAAGGAUGGGACAAUGGGCUCCAACCCCGAAAGGGGAAGGCAAUCCUGAAAUCCAUCCAUAGUUGGGAUCGAGGGUUGAAACUCACCCUCGUGAACGUGGAAUCCGUAGUAAUCGCCUGUCAACAUCAGGCGGUGAAUAUGCCCCUGCUCCUUGCACACACCGCCCGU
rnacentral:rRNA from 1 species